UACGGGGGGGGCAAGCGUUGUUCGGAAUUACUGGGCGUAAAGGGCUCGUAGGUGGCCAACUAAGUCAGACGUGAAAUCCCUCGGCUUAACCGGGGAACUGCGUCUGAUACUGGAUGGCUUGAGUUCGGGAGAGGGAUGCGGAAUUCCAGGUGUAGCGGUGAAAUGCAUAGAUAUGCCAUAGAACACCAAUUGCGAAGGCAGCUGACUAGACCUGGAUUGACGCUGAGGCACGAAAGCGUGGGGAGCGAACAGG
rnacentral:rRNA from 1 species